AAUGGAGUCUGGGCUGAUUUAUUCCAACAGAAGGUGUCCCCGAAGACGUGACCGACGCGAGACGAGCAGCCUGUCACAAAAGGAGGAGGUGAAACCAGCCGAGCCGGCCGCGGGACGGGAUUCAGAGACGGAAAACACAAAGAUGUGAAAGGAAGAUUGCAGCGAGAGCGGGCAGAGCGCACAAACGCAGCGCCGGCCGCAGGAUCGGCACGGAUAGAAAUUCCGGCAGCGAAUACGCAAAGCAGCAAAAAAGGAACACGCAAAGCAGCAAAAAAGGAAUACGAAAAGCAGCAAAAAAGGAAUACGAAAAGCAGCCAAAGGAAUAUGCAAAGUAGCAAAAAAGGAAUACGAAAAGCAGCAAAAGGAAUAUGCAAAGCAGCAAAAAAAGGUUACGGCUACGGUCAGCAGCGGGAUCGGCGCGCAAACGGCAAAGACAAGAGCCGGUGAAGCGGAGAGGAGCAGGAGGUGCACAGGAGGGGCUGCAGACGGUGUGGAACGCACAGAAAUGAGCACAACACCCGGCAGAAAGCGAGGUGGGAGCAGAAGUGCGAGCUGCAAAGGCCGUGCCGAGCCGCGGGAGAUGCGCAGCCGAAAGAGCCGCGCAAGGUGAGGCAGCCCCGGCGCUGCUGCGGAGAGAAACGCGCAGCGAUCCUGGGGACAGCGGGGACAGAACAGCGGUGAGUGAACGCUCGGCUGAUGCUGGGAAAACGCCAAUCGCUUGUUUUUAAAUUUUUUCAAAAGUUUAAUAGUAAUGAAAUGGUUAUAAAAAUAGUAAUAUAAUUGGAGUAAUAACAAUUUGGACAAUUGAGAUUAGGAUAAUACGAGACAAGAAAAAACAAAGAGUUAUGGACAGUCCGGGUACCUCUUUCUGGGUAAAAUAAGCCCGAAAAAGGACCCAGGUUAACAGAGGAUUAACCCUUAAAAGCAAUAACCUGUUGCAUAUUCAUACACCUUGUACACGAUGCAUAAAUUCCAUUCAAACACAGGAUUCUGUCUGGGCAGUGUCAGCUUCUUCCUCUGAAUCCUGACGGUGUCUUCAGGACUGAGCAAGGCAGGAAGAAGUUUGUUUCUUCUGAUAAUGGAGCAAUAAAUUCUCUUUGUCUGAAAGAUUCAGGUGUCCUGUGGAUGCAAUCUGGUAUGAGUUCCUCAUUCCUCUCUUGUAAAAAGUAUCCCACGUACACAGUUUCCAUUUUAACUACAAAAGUUACAUUCUAACCACAAAACUACAUUUACAGCACUAUUAAAAUGUUAGUACAGCACCACUAAUCAAUACAACAUAACACAUAUCGUAAAUAUCUGCACAGAGCCAUAUAAUAUGCACUUUUCACAGCUAGUUUUAACAUUUGCAGAGGAUAUCCCCCCAGGGUUAUGAGGGAUGGGUCAUGGCAGAGAUAAAGAACAUUCCCCCACCUGGUUUUAACAGCUGGUGAUAGAACACAUGCUCCUGGUUACGUCUUGCAUUGCAAUCUAAGACAGUUAAAUGUCAUUUUUCUCACAAUGUACAGUUGUUUUCUUUUAGGAGAUGACUCUGACUAAAACAGCUGUGAAGAAACACUGGUGAACACCUGUUUGUGGAUAAAGAAGUAUUUUUCAGAGUUCCAAGGAAAGAUACCUGAGCUUCAUUGAAACCCCCCUCCAAACUUCAAGUCUGGUGGUUUUCCCCAGUUAUCAUUACAGAAGCACUCCAGCAGUUUGCUGUGUUUGAAGCAUCUCAGUCCUGAAGGAAACUUCAGAGGGACCCAGCCACUGGAUGCUUUGAUCAGUCUUUCACCCAAGGCCUUUACUCAUAACUGCUAUUCUUAAGAGCCUUGUUUUAAAAUGUGUUUAGGGAAUUCCCUCCCACUUGGAGCUUGAGUGGUGGCCAGGCCUUGGCUCUACCUGGAUGGAGAAUUUGCCAACAAACCCAAAUGUUUUCUGCACCAAAACCAGAUUCAGGUCACUUUGACGUCACAAUUUGACCCUUUAUAUAUGAUAGCUGAACCUAUUUUUAGAGUAAGCUUGGGUAUUAUUAUCUGGAAAUAAUUAUCCAAGCCCUCACUAAAUUGAGGUUGGUCAGCUGUUUGCAGACUCUGGGAUGAUGGUACAGUAUUUCAGAGAUUCCUAAUUUCACAUGUAUUAUUAAUUAUGUGUACUAUCUGAAGUAUUCUUAAUUGUUGUACCUGACUUAUUCUUGAUUACUGCCAGUUUCUUGUUCACUACAUGUAUUGUUUUGCCUUGGUGUUUCUUCAUGCAAAUGAGAAGUAGAUUUAACACAACAAUCUAUUCUGAGGGUGAAAAACAAAUGCACCUGUGCAAACCAUGAAAUUUGUCCCAUGAGAGCCCACACAGGAAAAAUGUAAACAUAUCUAGAGAGAGGAAAUUUGAUAGAAAUAUAAAAUAUGAAUGAACUGAGUUUCACUGUAUUGCUGACCAAUUAGGUUUAACACAGUGCCUUCUGAUAUUUCCUACAAAUAUGAGCUUUGUGAAUAAAGAAUUGGCUUUCUGCAUGAAGAAAA